CUGGAGGAAGAGGAAGGAAGUAGCCGUGAAGGUGCAGAUGAGCAAGUCCUGCCUUGCUCACCAUCGCACAGCAGUGCAAAAACACUCAGCGCUUCACCACACUCUGCUCCUCAUACACCAAACCCUGCGUUCACUCCUGCUGCCUGUCAAAGCCCACCUUUCCCACCAGUGACCUCCGCGAGGUGGUGAGGCGCUGAGGACUCAGAAGCCAGCCGUCCAGGUGACUGAGGCUCUGAACCCCGCUACGCUUGCAAGUCGGAGGGACGCUCUCCAAGGCUGACGGCUGCGAUUUCAGGCCACCAUCGAGUGGCGCGGGAGAGGCAGAACGAAAACCCGCUGCUCUCUUUCUCUCUCCGCCCUCAUCUCAGGCCCAGCCUGGUUAGGAAGACGUCUGUGGUUUAUGGGUGAGGCGAAGAAGUCUGAAUCCAGAAGUUGCAUGAUCUAUGGCAUCAAGCAGAGAAACCGAGUAACCGCCAUAAAGCCCCACGGCCUGCAGGCCUCCCUUGUCUCAGCCACCCCAGCCUCCCGGCAGCCCUGAGGGCCCUUUCCAAGGCUGGCGAUACAGCAGUGAACUUGCUCUUAUGGAACACAUACAUUCUACUGGCAAGAACCAAGAAACCAAAAACGUAAGCAGGAAAUUCACAGGUGAGGACACAAGAAGACGGUCAUCGAUGAACCAGGACGAAGAUUCUCAACAGACACUGAAUCUGCUGGCUCCUUGACCUUGGAGUCCCAGGCUCCAGAACUGAGAGAAAUAAAUGUUUUUUGUCUAAGC
ensembl:lncRNA